rnacentral:rRNA from 1 species
CCUACGGGAGGCAGCAGUGAGGAAUAUUGGUCAAUGGACGAGAGUCUGAACCAGCCAAGUAGCGUGAAGGAUGACUGCCCUAUGGGUUGUAAACUUCUUUUAUAUGGGAAUAAAAUGUUCCACGUGUGGGAUUUUGUAUGUACCAUAUGAAUAAGGAUCGGCUAACUCCGUGCCAGCAGCCGCGGUAAUACGGAGGAUCCGAGCGUUAUCCGGAUUUAUUGGGGUUAAAGGGAGCGUAGGUGGAUUGUUAAGUCAGUUGUGAAAGUUUGCGGCUCAACCGUAAAAUUGCAGUUGAAACUGGCAGUCUUGAGUACAGUAGAGGUGGGCGGAAUUCGUGGUGUAGCGGUGAAAUGCUUAGAUAUCACGAAGAACUCCGAUUGCGAAGGCAGUUCACUGGACUGUAACUGACACUGAGGCUCGAAAGUGUGGGUAUCAAACAGGAUUAGAUACCCUAGUAGUC